GUUGGCUCAGAAGCAGCCAUUCAUUCAAAGAGUGCGUAAUAGCUCACUGGUCGAGUGAAGUUGCGCGGAAAAUUACCGGGGCUAAGCUAUACACCGAAAUUGCGGAUUUACAUUUGAAAGACAAUGUAAGUGGUAGAGGAGCAUUCUGUAGUAGGAAGAAGCAUGACCGUAAGGACAUGUGGACGAAGCAGAAGAGAGAAUGCUGGAAUAAGUAGCGAGAGGAUGGUGAGAAUCCAUCCCGUCGAAAAUCUAAGGUUUCCCAGGGAAGGUUCGUCCGCCUGGGGUAAGUCGGGACCUAAGGAGAGGCCGAAAGGCGUAUCUGAUGGAUAGCAGGUUGAAAUUCCUGCACUACGAAUAUACUUAAAAGAUUCAAGGGACGCAGAAGUGGAAGAUAACCAAGUAAGAGGAAAAGCUUGGCUCGCAAGAGGGAGUGAAAAUUAAAAGUAACGAAGUAUCAAGAAGCACGCUGACGAGAAAAGCUUGAAGAUAUUGUAUAUAAGUACCCGUACCGCAAACCGACACAGGUAGAUGAGGAGAGGAUCCUAAGACGAGCGGGAGAAGCAUUGUUAAGGAACUCGGCAAAUUAACCCCGUAACUUCGGAAUAAGGGGUGCUGAUGUAACAGUCAGUCGCAGAGAAAAGGCCCAAGCAACUGUUUAACAAAAACAUAGGUUUCUGCUAAAUCGAAAGAUGAAGUAUAGGAGCUGACGCCUGCCCAGUGCUGGAAGGUUAAGGGAAAGAGUUAGGGUUAAACCGAAGCUUAGAACUGAAGCCCCAGUGAACGGCGGCCGUAACUAUAACGGUCCUAAGGUAGCGAAAUUCCUUGUCAGGUAAGUUCUGACCCGCACGAAAGGCGUAAUGAUUUGGGCGCUGUCUCGACAAUGUCCCCGGCGAAAUUGUAGUACUAGUGAAGAUGCUAGUUACCUGCGAUAAGACAGAAAGACCCCAUGGAGCUUUACUGCAGUUUGAUACUGGGUUUCGAUGAUUUAUGUACAGGAUAGUUGGGAGACUAUGAAAGAGAGGCGUCAGCUUCUCCGGAGUCGUUGUUGGGAUACCAACCUUAAGUUAUUGAAAUUCUAACUUGUAAUCGUAAACCGGUUAGAGGACAAUGUCAGACGGGCAGUUUGACUGGGGCGGUCGCCUCCUAAAGAGUAACGGAGGCGCCCAAAGGUU
rnacentral:rRNA from 1 species